GAUGAACGCUAGCGGCAGGCCUAAUACAUGCAAGUCGAACGAGAUUAAGAGGCUUGCUUCUUAUGAAAGUGGCGCACGGGUGCGUAACGCGUAUGCAACCUACCUUAAUCAGGGGGAUAGCCCGAAGAAAUUCGGAUUAAGACCGCAUAAAAACACAGGAUAGCAUUAUCCAAUGUUCAAAUAUUUAUAGGAUUAAGAUGGGCAUGCGUGUCAUUAGCUAGUUGGCGGGGUAACGGCCCACCAAGGCGACGAUGACUAGGGGAUCUGAGAGGAUGACCCCCCAACGUGGUAGGGAAACACGGACCAGACACCUGCGGGAGGCAGGAGUAAGGAAGAUUGGUAAAGGGAGGGACCUGUGAACCGCCCAGGCGGGGGGAAGGAAGACAGCCCUUGGGGUGGAAAAUUUCUUUUAUGGGGAAAAAAACCUUUCUACGUGUAGGAAGCUGAAUGUACCGAAGAAAAAAGGAUCGGCAAACCCCG
rnacentral:rRNA from 1 species